rnacentral:rRNA from 1 species
UACGGGGGGGGCAAGCGUUGUUCGGAAUUACUGGGCGUAAAGCGUGCGCAGGCGGUUAUGUAAGACAGUUGUGAAAUCCCCGGGCUCAACCUGGGAACUGCAUCUGUGACUGCAUAGCUAGAGUACGGUAGAGGGGGAUAGAAUUCCGCGUGUAGCAGUGAAAUGCGUAGAUAUGCGGAGGAACACCGAUGGCGAAGGCAAUCCCCUGGACCUGUACUGACGCUCAUGCACGAAAGCGUGGGGAGCAAACAGG